GACCCGUCUUGAACCACGGAGUCUAGCAUGUGCGCAAGUCAUUGGGAAUCACAAAACCUAAAGGCGUAAUGAAGGUGAAGGUUCGCUUAUGCGGACUGAGGGAUGAUGGUUGGCAUUACGGAGCAAACUCGCAAUCCCGGGGCGUCUUACUCUCAUUGNGAGAAGAGGCGCACCAAGAGCGUACACGCUGGGACCCGAAAGAUGGUGAACUAUGCCUGGUCAGGUCGAAGUCAGGGGAAACCCUGAUGGAGGACCGUAGCGAUUCUGACGUGCAAAUCGAUCGUCGGAACUGGGUAUAGCGGCGAAAGACUAAUCGAACAUCUAGUAGCUGGUUCCUUCCGA
rnacentral:rRNA from 1 species